CUUUGUGAUUGGUUUAGGACAUCUUAAGAUUGUGCUUAAGACGGUCUUAAAUAUAAGAACUGACUAUGAAUACCGGCCUCAGAAUUGGCAUCUCUGGUCCGUUAUCGGCCACGGUCGGGAGUGGACGUGUUUUGGCGCGUUACGCGUAUUUGUUUGGACCUUAUUUUUUUGAGUUUCUGUUAAGGUUCUUUUAUAUAUAUUUAUCACUCUCAACCAGUUUUUAAUUAACACCAACUGGCGUAUUUUAAUUAAUAACCAACUGGCGUAUAGGCAUAUUCGGUUUCCGAAGCCUAACUAUAACCACAAAGAUAAGAAGAAGAAGAAGAUCGAUAUAACCAACAAAGCAAUAUUAAUUUGCGAAUUAUUAGCAAGUUUGGCUAUAUGGUUAAGCCAUCUCUUUGUGGAUUAGUUAUGGGCAAAAAUAAGAACGAAAAUUCUGGAAAAGAACGAAAUAUCGAUUUUAAUGGAGAAAUCGAUAUUUCUACAGAAAAUGAAUUAUUAAAAACAGAAUUGACGGACCUACAAAAACAAUUAGUGGAUAUGCAGAAACAACUAGCAGCUGCUGUUGCUGCAAAUAAAUCAUUCCAGCAGUAACUAUUAUUAAAUUCAGCUCCUCCAUCGUCAUUGCAGCAACAGCAGCAGCAACCACUAAGUUCGACUGCACAAGUAUUGGAACAAGAGCAGCAGCAAUCGACAAAUUCGACUCCAUCACAGCCAGCUCCACCAUAGCCAGCUCCGACACAGUCGAAAUCGAUUUCUAUAAAUGAACAAACUUUACAACUAAAACAAAAACCUUGCUGGCAACGGGCAGGGAGAGGAUAUACUCAAGGUCGUGAAUGGAGACGGGGACGAGGUUAUGCACGAAAUAAUCAUGGACGUGGAAAUAUUAUCAUUAAUAUGUAAUCUCUAGACCUUAGACCUUGCCUAUUAAAUGGACUUCUAAGGGCCCAUGGAAAAAAAACACUUUCCUUCAUUCUGGACAUUUUGUUUGUUUUUUUUAUGCACACAUAAAAACACUUUCCUUCUUUCUGGA